GUUGCAAAAGAAGUAGGUAGCUUAACCUUCGGGAGGGCGCUUACCACUUUGUGAUUCAUGACUGGGGUGAAGUCGUAACAAGGUAACCGUAGGGGAACCUGCGGUUGGAUCACCUCCUUACCUUAAAGAA
rnacentral:rRNA from 4 species